rnacentral:misc_RNA from 1 species
UUAAGUUCAGCGGGUAUCCCUACCUGAUCCGAGGUCAACCAUAGAAGUAGAUUUAACGAAAAAUCCGAUUAAGGCCGAGCCCGAAUGACCACCAUGAUGCGUGCCGAAAUAGAGCUCGCUGCAUCCAGGGUUCAACCGACUCUGCCAUUAUCUUUCGGACCCACCGACGGUUAAAACGUCGGUGCAAAGAUCCAACAAAC